GUCUGUUUUGCUUUUGCUAUUAAGUUUCUGGGACUACGCUUCGAAAAAAAAAUAUCAUGUAGAAUGUGAAGUUAAUUCAUAUGCACUACUAUUUUGUUUUCAAAUAUCAAAAUAUAGAGCUGUGCCGCAUAUUUUCAACGUUUAUAUAUGCCUGGAACUUUGAAGAGUUUUAACUUGCACUAAUAUUCUGUACAACGUACCUUGUACGCUUACCUCUACCUAAAGGUGAUCUGUAAGAGAUAACUUUGUCCUGGUAAAAUAUGUCCGGGCAGACAUACAUUACUAGUAGAAAAAGUCCCUAGAGUGUUUAAAUUUCCGUGUGUGCCUAUGUUUCUAAUAAAAAUGCUACAAGACUUAAAACUCAAUUGUCACAUAUUUUACAUCGCAUUUAUAAAUGAUCUUUAUGGAAAACUUGGGCGAUUUUACUGCCAAAUAUUCUUCACUUCACAGGCUUUUGUCACCUUUGGUUCAUGUCAGAUAUAAAUAAUAUAGCAAUGCUGGUCGAAGGCAUCGUUAACAUAAUCAUCCUGAUCUACGGAUCACAAAAGGCCAUCCCUACAUAGAAUACAACGUCCGUUUACACAAAAUACUACGGUUUGUACACACGUUGAUAAUUUUGUAUUAAACGAACUUUUUUGUAAAUGAACCCUGCUCUUCAAGUAUAAAGAUGCAGAGUUAACGUACGUCAUAUCAUGAUUUCAAAGCGUUCAACAUCGAUUUCAAACAAAUGCUUUGAAACUCUAAAUGCAAGUGUUCAUGUCAAACGCUCACGUGAUACCAAACGGACUAGACCUUUCACGAUAAAGAUAAAACCCGAGGAUUCCGGUAAAAAAGUUUUGAGCGGGAAAUACAAAUAAAAGAUUUUUGGUAGGAACGAAAAAAUAAAAUAAAAUAAAAUCUUGCUGAUAAAUACAAAUAAAAGAUUUUCAGGCGGAACGAAUUUAUAGGGUCGGUCGGUAAAGGGCAAACAAACAAUAUUUUAAUUUAAGCCCUAGUAUGAU
rnacentral:lncRNA from 1 species